rnacentral:piRNA from 1 species
UGGGCAAGGCAGCCAGACAGGCAGUGA